rnacentral:rRNA from 1 species
CAGGCUAACUCUGUGCCAGCAGCCGCGGUAAUACAGAGGGUGCAAGCGUUAAUCGGAUUUACUGGGCGUAAAGCGCGCGUAGGCGGCUAAUUAAGUCAAAUGUGAAAUCCCCGAGCUUAACUUGGGAAUUGCAUUCGAUACUGGUUAGCUAGAGUGUGGGAGAGGAUGGUAGAAUUCCAGGUGUAGCGGUGAAAUGCGUAGAGAUCUGGAGGAAUACCGAUGGCGAAGGCAGCCAUCUGGCCUAACACUGACGCUGAGGUGCGAAAGCAUGGGGAGCAAACAGGAUUAGAUACCCUGGUAGUCCAUGCCGUAAACGAUGUCUACUAGCCGUUGGGGCCUUUGAGGCUUUAGUGGCGCAGCUAACGCGAUAAGUAGACCGCCUGGGGAGUACGGUCGCAAGACUAAAACUCAAAUGAAUUGACGGGGGCCCGCACAAGCGGUGGAGCAUGUGGUUUAAUUCGAUGCAACGCGGAAAGAACCUUACUG